rnacentral:rRNA from 1 species
GACGAACGCUGGCGGCGUGCCUAAUACAUGCAAGUAGAACGCUGAGGACUGGCGCUUGCACUGGUCUAAGGAGUUGCGAACGGGUGAGUAACGCGUAGGUAACCUACCUCAUAGCGGGGGAUAACUAUUGGUAAACGAUAGCUAAUACCGCAUGACAAUAGGGUACACAUGUACCCUAUUUAAAAGGGGCAAAUGCUUCACUAUGAGAUGGACCUGCGUUGUAUUAGCUAGUUGGUAAGGUAACGGCUUACCAAGGCGACGAUACAUAGCCGACCUGAGAGGGUUGAUCGGCCACACUGGGACUGAGACACGGCCAG